UACGUAGGUGGCAAGCGUUAUCCGGAUUUAUUGGGCGUAAAGGGAACGCAGGCGGUCUUUUAAGUCUGAUGUGAAAGCCUUCGGCUUAACCGGAGUAGUGCAUUGGAAACUGGGAGACUUGAGUGCAGAAGAGGAGAGUGGAACUCCAUGUGUAGCGGUGAAAUGCGUAGAUAUAUGGAAGAACACCAGUGGCGAAAGCGGCUCUCUGGUCUGUAACCGACGCUGAGGUUCGAAAGCGUGGGUAGCAAACAGG
rnacentral:rRNA from 1 species